AUUGAACGCUGGCGGCAGGCCUAACACAUGCAAGUCGAACGAGUGGCGGACGGGUGAGUAAUGUCUGGGCAACUGCCCGAUGGAGGGGGAUCACUACUGGAAACGGACGCCAAUACCGCAUACCAUCGGAUGUGCCCAGAUGGGAUUAGCGAGUAGGUGGGGUAACGGCUCACCUAGGCGACGAUCCCUAGCUGGUCUGAGAGGAUGACCGGCCACACUGGAACUGAGACACGGUCCAGACUCCUACGGGAGGCAGCAGUGGGGAAUAUUGCACAAUGGGCGAAAGCCUGAUGCAGCCAUGCCGCGUGUAUGAGGAAGGCCUUCGGGUUUUAAAGUACUUUCAGCGAGGAGGCGGUACUCGCAGAAGAAGCACCGGCUAACUCCGUGCCAGCAGCCGCGGUAAUAC
rnacentral:rRNA from 1 species